ACAAGAUUUCUAAAUCUUUAGCCUGUAAAAUGGCAGCUGUCAAGAUAAUUAGCAAUUUGGAUGAUUGUUCAAGCUUCUGUACUGAGUUAAUAAGAGUUGCUAGCUGAUGCACAGAUGGGUGCUGAAAUCAACUUCAUAUAUUCAAAUACAAUGCCAAACUCAUUUUAUGAAAAAAAUGCCCAACUUCAGGAUGGAUAGCACAGAAGCUUUAUGAAACUUUACAGCCUGAUUUUUUUUUUCUUAAUUAAUUCCAAUAUAUAGUAGAAACAUUUCUUUUAGUACUAAGUAUUGUACACUUAUUUUAUCCACCAUUUCCAUCCAAAGCUGGUUCACUAGUGGUGCAUUUGAUGAAAUAAUACAUGACAUAAUAAAAUGUGGACAUAGCACCCCUUAUUAUGUGUUAAUUUAUAUCUACAAUAAUUACAAGCAUUAAUCAAUAAAUUCAAUGUAUAGAGGAAGACUAGAAGAAAACAAUCUACCUUUUGGAAAGGAAAAAAAUGCCUCAAACAAAAGACCUUACCCUGCGAACAGCGUUAACAGCAG
rnacentral:misc_RNA from 1 species